UACGUAGGUGGCGAGCGUUGUCCGGAAUUACUGGGUGUAAAGCGCGUGUAGGCGGGAGGCCAAGUCUGCGGUGAAAUCGCUCGGCUCAACUGGGCGGGGUCCGUGGAAACUGGUCACCUGGAGGACGGUAGAGGCGAGUGGAAUUCCCGGUGUAGUGGUGAAAUGCGUAGAGAUCGGGAGGAACACCAGUGGCGAAGGCGGCAUCCUGGACCGACACUGACGCUGAGGAGCGAAAGCCAGGGGAGCAAACGGG
rnacentral:rRNA from 1 species